rnacentral:rRNA from 1 species
GUGAGGAAUAUUGGGCAAUGCCCGCAAGGGUGACCCAGCAACGCCGCGUGGAGGAUGAAUGUCGUAAGAUUGUAAACUCCUGUUAGAGGGGAAGAAUAGUACCGGUUGGACCGGUAUAUGACUGUACCCUCAGAGAAAGCCCCGGCUAACUACGUGCCAGCAGCCGCGGUAAUACGUAGGGGGCAAGCGUUGUCCGGAUUUACUGGGUGUAAAGGGCGCGCAGGCGGGAUAAAAAGUCAGUGGUGAAAUCCUACAGCUUAACUGUAGAACUGCCUUUGAUACUUUUAUUCUUGAGUUCGGGAGAGAGAGACGGAAUUCCAGGUGUAGUGGUGAAAUACGUAGAUAUCUGGAAGAACACCGGUUGCGAAGGCGGUCUCUUGGUCCGACACUGACGCUGAGGCGCGAAAGCGUGGGGAGCAAACA